rnacentral:rRNA from 1 species
UGGGGGAUAUUGCACAAUGGGGGAAACCCUGAUGCAGCGACGCCGCGUGAGUGAAGAAGUAUUUCGGUAUGUAAAGCUCUAUCAGCAGGGAAGAAGCAAGACGGUACCUGACUAAGAAGCCCCGGCUAACUACGUGCCAGCAGCCGCGGUAAUACGUAGGGGGCAAGCGUUAUCCGGAUUUACUGGGUGUAAAGGGAGCGUAGACGGUAUGGCAAGUCUGAAGUGAAAGCCCAGGGCUUAACCCUGGGACUGCUUUGGAAACUGUUAGACUAGAGUGCUGGAGAGGUAAGUGGAAUUCCUAGUGUAGCGGUGAAAUGCGUAGAUAUUAGGAGGAACACCAGUGGCGAAGGCGGCUUACUGGACAGUAACUGACGUUGAGGCUCGAAAGCGUGGGGAGCAAACAGG